AAGUUCUGGGAUUACAGGCAUGAGCCACUGCACCCAGCCCAAUACCUAUUUUACAGAUGGGACACAGAGGCUCGGGUCAGGGUUAAGUUUUCUUAAGGCCAGCUGUAGUUAGUGGCUAGCACCUGGCUCUCCCGCCUGUACGUUUUUUAUACUUGAUUCUGCAUCUCACUCAAAAAGGCUACUAGGAGAAUUCAGCAAGCGUUUUGAAAAUUGUUUAGCCUAGUGCCACUAAAUAGAAGUUAAUUUUGAAUUUGCAAAUUAAAGUUCCUCUUAUCCCUCCCUGGUUCUGACAGUAAGUACCCUUGGAAGACUCACAGACAGUCUGAAGGAGGGGAGGGUGGCUGGGAAGCACCUUUCCUGCUGGGUGCUGGAGGAGUGCCCCGAUUCCUUACAACAUCCCAAAUCCUAUGAGACAGUUAUUGACAUGCUUCCUUUACAGAGCAGGAAAUGGAAGCUUGGAGAGCUGAGGGCACAUGCCCAUUCUUCCCUCUUUAUUUAUAGAGGAAUCCUUUUAUUUUUGAAGGAAGAAAUGUGCUUAACAAAGAAAUUAUCUUUCCCAACCUUCUUUGCAACCAGGGAUGGUCCAUGAGAUAUAAAUGGAAAUUGUAGGUCAGGGCUUCUUAAAACGUUCUCUAGAGUGACUGAUCCAGCUGCAAAGCGCAUGCUUUUGUUUUCCUCUCCUGCCUUUUCCUGAUUACAUGUAAGACUUGAUGACUGGAGCCUAGCAGUUAUCUUACUAGAAGGAAGAUGAAAGCUACAUGCUAGGGGUAGCCAAGGAAGGAGAUGGCAGGCUCCGCCAGCCCAACUCUGGGCUUCUCAUCAUGACGGAAGCCACAGUUUUUCAUAUUCUGUGCUAGAACCGAACACAAUUUGUAACCAGUAACAUGUAUCAAAAGCUUUAGUCUGGUUCAGCAUCUGAUGAAAAGGCAGGUUGAAGAGUGCCAUUGCCUCGUGCUUACCUGGAUUUCUCUGGUGUGCUGUCGAGACACUCUGGCCUCUGUAGGUUGAUUCUCGAUGACUCUGUAGGGGAGCAGACUGUAUAAAUGGCAAGUGAUCCCAUUGCUGGGGGAGACGUGGCACUGGGUGAUGGACAGCUAGGAAGCUGAUGGAAAGCCCUUGAUUUUACCACGUCUAUCCAAUACCUCCAAAGCAAACAUGCCUGCCUGGAAGGCCCGGGAAAAUGUCAACAACAUAUUUGAAUCUGUAAAUCACGAAUGCCAUCAAAUGGAGAGGUGCAGAGAGUAUGGAGAGCACCGAGAGGGGCUGCAAGCGGGAAGACAGUGUGCAGGAGUCACAUUCACAUCCCUGCCCCGCUCUGAGCUGCUUUUCUCAUCUGUACAAUAAGCAAGAUGGGUCUGGUGACUCUGAGGAAGGAAGCCGCUCGGUCUUCUGUGAGUGGGGAGGCAGAGGAUGUCCUAGCUUCAGUUUACUGGUCUGUGGUCCCAGACCCUUGAGCUCCAGCAUGGCGCUGCCCAUUUCUUGCUGUUUGAUGCUGGACAGCUCCCAAGCCCUUUCCGGGUCUCCGUCUCUCCAUCUAUAAAAAUAAUAGCUCACAUUGACAGUCAGUUUUCACAAAUGUAUCCUUAUCAUGCAAGAACUAAUUAACCUGAUUUUACAGAUAAGGAAACUAAGACUCAAGAGAAGACAAAUCUUGCCCAAGGUCCUAGAGCUAGUGUAUAAUAGAAUCAGGAUUUGAAUCUAGUUCUACCUUCUAUGAAAGCUUGUAACCUUCACACUACAUCACAAUUUCCUCCUUUUAGAGCAGAGCUGUGACUUCCUUGUGGGGUAGGGGUAACUGUUCUCUAUCUUACUGAAGAGGUUUGUUCCUUGAAGACUUGAGAACAGAUGUGCUCAACCAUUUGAAAGGUUGGAACCCCACUAAAGCCUUAAUUGCAAAGAUGUCUUAAAGCAUGUGCAUGGUUUGAAUGCAUGUGUCCCUCCAAAAUUCAUAUGUUGGAACUUAAACCCCAAAGCAGUGGUAUUAAGAGGUGGGGCCUGUUGGGAAUCAAUUAAGUCAUAAGGGUUCUGUACUCAUGAAUAGAACAGUGUCCUUAUAAAGGUGGCCUCAGAUAGCUGCCUAGCCCCUCCACUUCUCUUUUGCCAUGUGAGGACAUAGCAUUUGUCCUUUUGCCCUUUCGUCCUUUCUCUCUUGUGAUUGCAGUGAGAAGGUGUCAUCUUGGAAGCAGAUAGAAAGCCUUUACCAGACACCAAGUCUGCUGGCACUUUGAUCUUGGACUUCCAGCCUCCAGAACUGUGAGACGCACUGGAGCUGUUGAGGAGUGAAGCACCUGCCCUCAGGCAGAUGGGCAGAGGGGUGAACGAGAAGAGUGGAAGCCACGCUAUUAAGAACUGAUGAUGUUUGAGUGUUCUCUCUGCAUUGGACGCUGGUGACAAGGUAGCUUGGUUAGACCUGCAUGUCGAGAAAUACAGUGUCUCAUUUUUGGAAACAUUAAGGAGCAGUCCUGCUCAGCUGGGUGGUGACUCCUGAGCAGUGGAGGAUUUAACCAGCAGGUGAGGGAGAAGGAAAGGUGUCCGAGGUGGUUGGGACAGCAUGGACUAAGGCUUGGCACUGACCCGAGUUAGUUCCUGCCCAAAAGAAGCCCUGACUUUUGAGCACCUCCUUGUGUAUUUUCUGUGGGAUUGGAUUGCCACAAAUUAUAGUCAGUAAGGAAAAUUCGCAUCCUUCAUCUUUUGCUAGCGGGAAAAGCUAUGGAGGAGAUGAACUUCCGAUUAAAUGCCAUUUUGCCUCUGACCAGCCAUGUGGCCUCAGGCAAGUCACUUCACCUCUCUGACCCUGAGUUGCCACACCUAACCAAAGACUCAUUCACUGGAUCACUCAGUAAAAAUCCGAAUUCAAUGAGAUAAAUGUGUAUGAGGUCCACUACAGGAUUUCUUCCCCACCUCGUCACUUCCGCAGGUUUUAAAAUUUAAUACAUUGUAAUCAAAUAGUAGCAGCAGUAAAUAAACACUUUGAAAAACAA